rnacentral:lncRNA from 1 species
UGUAGACCAGCAUUCUCACUUUUAGGUGUCUGUUCUACAGAAAUAUUUGCAUAUGUGCUCAGACACAUUCUAGGUUUUUCUCUUCAGCAUUAUUAUUUAAAAAAAAUCAGAUCUACAGGGUCUUUUAAUCAUUAUUUUUAAUUGUGGUAAAAAAACACACAUAACGAAAAUUUAUCAUCUUAACCAUCUGUAAGUAUACAGUUAAUGUUUUUUAAUAGCAAAAGAGGAAAGAAAAAGAAAGGAAGAAUGAAAGAAAAGGAGGGAGAGAGGGAACAAAAACAAUGAAUGAAGUGGAAAUAAUCCAAGUUUUAUUUUUUCCUCAAUAGGAGAAGAAUUUAAUUCAUUUAUAUGAUGGAAUCCUAUGCAGAAAAUUUUUUUAAAUUAUGAUAGGUCCACAUGCAGUUGCUGAGAAAGAUCAUGAAAACAAAUCAAGUGAAAAAUGUAAUUUGCAAUACUGUGUGUAGUGUGCCGUCAUUCGUAUGAACUGAACCCUGCGUGUGUAGGCAGGAAAUGCACGCUUCUCCAGGACUGUCAGAUCCAUGAGAGCAGCAAUAGGCUUUGCUUCAUCAACACUGCAUACUUGGCACCCAGGCCAGUGUCUCAUACUUCUUCUUAGAUACACAUUGGAGUGAACUGGAAGGCGAGAGAAUCCACCCAGUCACUCACGCCAGACAGCAGGAUCCCUUCUUCCUCUGUCACUCAGCCAUGCAAAGUGCGCAGACCACCGUUAUUGCUCAUCUGAUUCCUGCAACAGCAUCCUCACGUGUCUUCCUUUCCUUGAUGCCUCCAACUCAUUCUCCACACUACUGGCAGGGAGAUCUUUCCUGAAAGUAAAUCUGGGUAAUGCUGGCUGCUACAACAGAAACCCACAGUCUCAGUAGCUUAACACAAUAGAAACCUAUUUCUUGCCCUCUAUAAAGACAGAAAUGGUUGUUCCAAGUGGUGAUUCAAAGACCCAGGAUUCUUGAACAUUCACAGCCACCUUCUAAGGACUGCAGAAGCACAAAGAGCUUGGAGGGCAGUGGUUGGAACGGCACACACCGCUUCCCCCUGCUCCUUGCUGUGAGAACUCAGUCUCAUGUCCACACCUCGUUGCAAGGAGCCCAGAACAUAAGGUCUGGCUGAAUGCCCAGGUAGAAGAGGACCUGAGUCUUGAGAUCAGCUUUGGCAGUUUCCCAUUGUUUUUAGGAUAAAGAUUAAACUCCUUCAUAGAGCAAACACGGUGUGUUAGGAACUGAGCUGUGUUCCCCCCAAAUUCCUAUUUUGAAGUCCUCACCCCUAGUGCCUCGGAGUGUGGCUGCACUUGGAGAGAGGGCCUUUAAGGACUUAAUUAAGGUUAAAGGAGGUCAUAAGGGUGAGGCCCUAAUCUAAUAGGACUGGUGUCCUUAUAAGUAGAGGAAGAGACACAGGGGCACACUUGCACAGAGGAAAGGCCACGUGAACACACAGAAGGCAGCCGUCUGCAAGCCCAGAAGCAAGGCCUCAGGAGAAACCAACCCUGCCAACACCUUGAUCUCGGACUUCAAGCCUCCAGAACUGUGAGAGAAUCAAUGUUGUUCAAGCCACAAGUCUGUGGUACUUUGUCACGGCAGCCCGAGCUGACUAACACAAGGCUCUUCCUAGCUUUACCCACUCUCCUCCCCAUUCCCUGUCACUUCUCCAGGCUGACUCCAGCCUGACUGAGCUGUUUGUAGUUUCCUGACUAUUCCCUGCUCUGCCUUACCUCUGGGGCUUUGCAAUUUCCACUUUCUAGCUAGCAAACCCUUCCUUCCCACUCCUCCUGCUCCAUGUACAUCCCACAGCCCCACACCCACAGCGCUGGCUAACCCUCACUAAUCCUGUGGGUCAAAUACUCCACCUGAGUGUUUAAAUCUUUGAAGCUAAAGCAUUUGCUACACUGAAUUAAAAUGGACAAUUCACCCAUCUGCACAAGAUCCUAAGCUCCCCGAGGGCAGGAGUUUGCCCACGGUUGUGCCCCACGCACUGGGAUCAGCAACAUGAUGUAUGAGGCCUCAUGCAAAAUGCAAAUGAGAGCCACCUCAUUGGAAUUUCAGGACAGGACAGCAGAGCAUCCUCAAGUCUGGGGCCCUUCUGAGUGCGGGUCUUUUGCAAAUACACAGAUCACAUGCUCAUGAUGCUGGUCCUGCCUGGAGAAUGCCAGUCACAUAAGCUGAACACAUACUGUGGGUUUUGUAAGACUUGAGGUUGAGUUCCAACUGUCUCACUCUUGACUGAAAAGGGAAAGCGAAGCCACAUUGUUUU